rnacentral:lncRNA from 10 species
CGUGGUUCGAGCUCGCGCGUGGAGCGGCCUCCAGCGCUCGGUCUGCUAGGGUAGAAGCCCAUGAAGGGGGUCCCGCGGCGCUAGCUUUUGUACGGCCCCGCCUUGGCCAGCCGUGAGCUGACGCACCGGCUCCCCUGGGACGCUGGGGGCGUCGCACCGCAGCUGGGUGGGGAGCAAUUUAUUCCUCGCCGUCCCAUCCCAGCCCAUCUUUGGUUACUCCACCCUACCCCUCCCAUCCCUCCUCCUCCUCCUCCUCUUCCUCCUCCUUCUCUAACAACGCCCGCACUACCUUCUGAUUCUCCACCUCCUCUUCAUCCUCCAUCCCCCUUUUACUUCUCUCUCCCCCGUCUCUCCUCCCUCCCGCCUCCUUUCUCCCUCUCCCCCUCCCUCUCUCCUCUGAAUAAGCAAGCUUUUGCCUCUAAAAGUCACAAGUAAUCCUCGUGUGUGACAGAGAGAGAGAGAGAGAGAGAGAGAGAGAGAGAGAGAGAAACGAGCUGGCGGAGAGGAGCAGAAGGCAGGAGGGGAAAUCUGGCACAACGGCUGGGAGAGGAAACUUGAUGCUUCUGGGCCACCAUUUGCCAGGGCCUCGCUCGAGACGCCGAAAGAAGCCUGUUUGUGUGCUGCGGCCGUGCUGUGACUUUGGAUCUUGUCUUUCAGCCGGCGCCUCGGUUCCUGCCCAGCUGGAUUUGGGGGGCAGCAUUGCCUGGCGCAGGGAGAUCAAGUGAGUAUCGUG